rnacentral:rRNA from 1 species
AUUGAACGCUGGCGGCAUGCCUUACACAUGCAAGUCGAACGGCAGCGCGGACUUCGGUCUGGCGGCGAGUGGCGAACGGGUGAGUAAUACAUCGGAACGUACCCUGUUGUGGGGGAUAACUAGUCGAAAGAUUAGCUAAUACCGCAUACGACCUGAGGGUGAAAGUGGGGGACCGCUAGGCCUCACGCAGCAGGAGCGGCCGAUGUCUGAUUAGCUAGUUGGUGGGGUAAAGGCCCACCAAGGCGACGAUCAGUAGCUGGUCUGAGAGGACGAUCAGCCACACUGGGACUGAGACACGGCCCAGACUCCUACGGGAGGCAGCAGUGGGGAAUUUUGGACAAUGGGGGCAACCCUGAUCCAGCAAUGCCGCGUGUGUGAAGAAGGCCUUCGGGUUGUAAAGCACUUUUGUCCGGAAAGAAAUGGCUCUGGUUAAUACCUGGGGUCGAUGACGGUACCGGAAGAAUAAGGACCGGCUAACUACGUGCCAGCCGCCGCCGAAA